rnacentral:rRNA from 1 species
GAUGAACGCUGGCGGCGUGCCUAAUACAUGCAAGUCGAGCGAACAGACGAGGAGCUUGCUCCUCUGACGUUAGCGGCGGACGGGUGAGUAACACGUGGAUAACCUACCUAUAAGACUGGGAUAACUUCGGGAAACCGGAGCUAAUACCGGAUAAUAUAUUGAACCGCAUGGUUCAAUAGUGAAAGACGGUUUUGCUGUCACUUAUAGAUGGAUCCGCGCCGCAUUAGCUAGUUGGUAAGGUAACGGCUUACCAAGGCAACGAUGCGUAGCCGACCUGAGAGGGUGAUCGGCCACACUGGAACUGAGACACGGUCCAGACUCCUACGGGAGGCAGCAGUAGGGAAUCUUCCGCAAUGGGCGAAAGCCUGACGGAGCAACGCCGCGUGAGUGAUGAAGGUCUGCGGAUCGUAAAACUCUGUUAUUAGGGAAGAACAAAUGUGUAAGUAACUAUGCACGUCUUGACGGUACCUAAUCAGAAAGCCACGGCUAACUACGU